rnacentral:rRNA from 1 species
GAUGAACGCUGGCGGCGUGCCUAAUACAUGCAAGUCGAGCGACCGGACGAAAAGCUUGCUUCUCUGUUGUUAGCGGCGGACGGGUGAGUAACACGUCGCUAACCUACCUAUACGACUGGGAUAACUUCGGGAAACCUGAGCUACUACCGGAUAAUAUUUUGAACCGCAUGGUUCAAAAGUGAAAGCCGCUCUUGCUGUCACCUAUAGAUGGAUCCGCGCUGCAUUAUCUAGUUGGUAAGGUAACGGCUUACCAAGGCAACGAUGCAUAGCCUACCUAAGAGGGUAAUAGCCCACACGGGAACUGAGACAAGGUCCGGACUACUACGGGAGGCAGCAGUAGGGAAUCGUCCGUAAUGGGCGAAAGCUUGACGGUGCACCGCCGCGUAAGUGAUGAAGGUCUUCGGAUCGUAAAACUCUGUUAUAAGGCAAGAACAUAUGUGUAAGUAACUGUGCACAUCUUGACGGUACCUAAUCAGAAAGCCACGGCUAACUACGUG